AGUGAACGCUGGCGGUAGGCCAAACACAUGCAAGUCGAACGGCAGCACAGUAAGAGCUUGCUCUUACGGGUGGCGAGUGGCGGACGGGUGAGGAAUACAUCGGAAUCUACUUUUUCGUGGGGGAUAACGUAGGGAAACUUACGCUAAUACCGCAUACGACCUACGGGUGAAAGCAGGGGAUCUUCGGACCUUGCGCGAUUGAAUGAGCCGAUGUCGGAUUAGCUAGUUGGCGGGGUAAAGGCCCACCAAGGCGACGAUCCGUAGCUGGUCUGAGAGGAUGAUCAGCCACACUGGAACUGAGACACGGUCCAGACUCCUACGGGAGGCAGCAGUGGGGAAUAUUGGACAAUGGGCGCAAGCCUGAUCCAGCCAUACCGCGUGGGUGAAGAAGGCCUUCGGGUUGUAAAGCCCUUUUGUUGGGAAAGAAAAGCAGCAGGUUAAUACCCCGCUGUUCUGACGGUACCCAACGAAUAAGCACCGGCUAACUUCGUG
rnacentral:rRNA from 1 species